CCGAUGUCCACAGCAAGAACAUCGUUUUCCAAACAGAAUUAAGGGGUUCUGUUUCAAAACAUAGAGAUCCAGUCAUUUGGUUAUUUGUUAUAGACACACACAGACCAUACACACAUACACACCACAACACAUAUGCAUAUACACAUCCCAUGUACACAUACACAUGCAUAUACACACCACACACAACACAUAAACGUCCUCCCCUACAUACACAUGCAUAUAUACUCCCUCAACACACAUGCACAUCCUACACACAUACACACAUAUACACCCACACAUACAUUACACAUACACAUGCAUAUACACACUACACACACAACACAUAAACAUCCUCCCCUACAUACACACUAUACAUACAUACAUCACACAUCACACAUACACAUAUGUGUAUACUCCAACACACAUGCACAUUCUACACACACACACAACACAUAUGGAUGC
rnacentral:lncRNA from 10 species